ensembl:snRNA U1 U1 spliceosomal RNA
UUACUUACCUGGCAGGAGAGACACCAUGAUCAAAAAGGUGGUUCACCCAGAGGGAGGUUUGGUCAUUGCACUCUGGUUGUGUUGACCCCUGUGAAUUCCCCAAAUGUGGGAAUCUACAUUUAUGCUUUCCUUUGAAAUUUUUUGGGGUGGUCUUGGC